GUGCUCGCUUCAGCAGCACAUAUACUAAAAUUGGAAUGAUACAGAGAAGAUUAGCACAGCUCCUAAAAAAAAAAAAAAAACCAACUUGAGUUCCUAUCUCUCACUAU
rfam:Otolemur garnettii contig033286, whole genome shotgun sequence.